rnacentral:rRNA from 1 species
GUGAGGAAUUUUGCGCAAUGGGAGCAAUCCUGACGCAGCAACGCCGCGUGGGUGAAGAAGGCCUUCGGGUCGUAAAGCCCUGUCAGGUGGGAAGAAGGGUUCCGGGAAGAACACGCCCGGGAUGUGACGGUACCACCAGAGGAAGCACCGGCUAACUCCGUGCCAGCAGCCGCGGUAAUACGGAGGGUGCAAGCGUUAUUCGGAAUUACUGGGCGUAAAGCGCGUGUAGGCGGGGAGGUAAGUCUGAUGUGAAAGCCCCGGGCUUAACCCGGGAAGUGCAUUGGAAACUGCUUUUCUUGAGUACUGGAGAGGAAGGGGGAAUUCCCGGUGUAGAGGUGAAAUUCGUAGAGAUCGGGAGGAAUACCAGUGGCGAAGGCGCCCUUCUGGACGGUUACUGACGCUGAGACGCGAAAGCGUGGGGAGCAAACAGGAUUAGAUACCCCAGUAGUCC